UAGAACUAAGAGAAACUGGAAUUUUGGGACUUUUGAGCCAGAUCAGAUUUCAAUACAUCAUUGCCAAUUUGCCUUAUGGAGAGUUUGUUGUUAGUCACAAACACAGUGACUCCUGUGACCAGAGUAACAAUUUUAAACAUUAUGGCAUGAAAAAAAAUAAAACAUGAGGGUACGAUGUGUUCCAUCCUUCUUUUCCCCCAGCUGGAACUUUGUCAAGCAGCCUUGGAGGUCGGUUGGGCUUCGCCAUCCCCCCCUUUUUUAUUUUUUAUUUUUUUGGCAGCGUGGAGUUCAAGUUGGAUAUUCUUGAGGGCUCGAAUUAAUUGUCUGAAGAUGACUGGAAGACAAAAUAGGAGGAUUAAUAUGACUACAAUAGUGAUUCCCAAAUUGUUAAUAAAAGAGAAAAAGGGUUUUGUUGAAAUAGAGGAGGAGAGGGAAGACAGGAAAGAACUAGCUAUUACUUCUGCCGAAGAGGUUUGUAGUCGUGCCUGACUAAUAGCACUAACUUGUGAAUGUAAAUGUUGUACAUCUAUAGACAGGGGAGUAUUUCUCCAUACUCCCUUUAAAUGGGCCUGUACCUGUUCCCAUGUCAUACGACUAUCAUUAUAGGGUAAUGGUGUAACACAGAUCCAACGGAAACCAGAAUGGCAGGCAGCAGAUGUAUGAACUUUAAUGGCUUAUAUCUGGUUUCCUAUAUAAAACACUGCUUCUUCUAAAGCAUUUAUUCUGGAUUCUAACUUUCUAUCAAUAAUUUCUUGAGUGACCAAUGCUAGAGAAACAUUUUUUGUCAGAUCAUUAACAUGAUGUGCAGUAUGAAUUUCUUUUUCCAGGGCAGUCGUGGAGACAGCAAGUGAAGUUAUGAUGCUUAUUAAAGCAGUGAUGCCAAGAAUGAAAGCUGCAACAAAUCGUUUGGGGCGUGAAAGGGCAUCUACAAUUAAUUGAAGAGCCUGUAGGCCUGGAUUAUCAUACCAUUGUCCUGCAACAUUUACUGGAAGCAUAACAUAAGGUGGCUGUCUUACCAAGAGGAACGUCUGUUGUCCAAAUGAUGAAUUAAGGCAAUUAGUUAACACACAAUUAUCACAUUGAAUAUCAUAAGUAGAGUGAUUAGUAACAGAAAUUGACAUAAAACCUGUUUUACCAGUACUUAGAAUAGCAUAAGGGGAGAGUACACAGGCCUGUAAGGCUAUUAGGGAAGUAAUUUUUGUACUUGGUCUAUAAAAAGUAACAAGGCCUGUGGAAGCAAACAGACGAUAUAAGUCUGUCUGUAUCUUACUUGAGGUUGUUAAAGUAUAUAUGGGGGGCCACCCAUCCAGGAGAAUACCAACGUUUUACAGGUCCGGUUAAGGGUAAAUUGGAGCUUGACCAAGAAUAAGUGAAGGAAUUUCUUUUAAGAUAAUCAGUAUAAUCAUACUUGAGACUUGACACGGACCAAUCAUAUAAACUUUGAUUAAAGAAUGGUAACGGGUGAGAAAUUGUGGAGGUGAUAAAACCACAGGAAAACCACGUGGGAAAUCCGCGGCGCCUGUCAAUAUUUUUCCAAAUAUAUUCUGCAUCGGAUGCUGAUUGACAAGGGGAGAUAAGAUUAGGCAUAAAGCUAGUGUGUUUUGAAAAUUAGGUUAAAUUUCCAGGUAGCCAUAACGAGAGGGACCAUAAAUCUCAUUUGUUUUUUCCCUCAGCAGGGAAGUCAGCAUACAUAUUAUUAUAAUAUAGAGAGAUACAUCCAAGAAGGGAAGUUUGGAUAGUGGCAGCACAAAUAGGUAUGUCAUCAGCGUGACCUGUAUAGUUAAAAUGAUGAGUAUAUUUAAGGGAGAUAAAGGAAUUAUCUUUUCCUCCCAUAAGUUGAGGAUAAUUAGUUACUAUUUUAACAUUAUCACAAUCCCAGGUGACUGGGUGAAGUACAGGAGGUUCUGGGACAUAAGCCCAAUAGGGAGAGGUCAUGGCUGAGCAAGGUAAAAUUACCUGAGUAGCAAUGACAGCUAACAUUGCAACAAACAGCCUAUCAGAAGUCACAGGGAGAUGCUGACUAUAAACGAGACCCUUGGCCUUUUCGGUGAGGCUCUUAAUCGGGCCCCAGGUCGGUGGAGGGCUUUGUCUGGUAGAGCAUGCAGGACGGUGACGAGGACGUCCCUGUAGUUGAAGCUGGUGGAGACGAGCAGACAGCUGAUCAACUCUGAGCUCUGAUCUUUUUAUAGGACGUCAUCUAAGGAAAAUAAAUCAGCCUACAACUGUGCUUAUUAUCAUAGGUGGCUGGAGCAUAAGAGAAAGGCAAAUAUCUGAAUCAAAAGGUUAUUACCAUAAACAAUGUUAGAAGACCCAUACAAUUAGAGGGCAUAAAUACAUUUUGUACACAAGAAAAGGAGCAAUAACAUUACAGUUAUAUAAAACAUUAUGUUCUUUAAUGUAGUUUGGUACCAAAAGCAUCUUCAUAAUAACACUUUUGUUUAUGGCACAGAAAUUAAUCUUCUGAAGAUGACCAAGGUAGACAUAUCACAAUAACAUAUUUAGAACUUAACCAGUGUGAACAUUUUAUAAUAACAUAUUUAGAAUUUAAACUUCAAGGAUAACCAAUAUAAUCAAUUUAUAAUAACAUAUUGAGACAAUGUUUAUUGUGGUCUGUCUCCCAUAAGAUUGUGAAAUUUACUAGGGGGGUCCCUUUAGUGAAU
rnacentral:lncRNA from 1 species